ACGGGAGGCAGCAGUGAGGAAUAUUGGUCAAUGGGCGAGAGCCUGAACCAGCCAAGUAGCGUGAGGGAUGACUGCCCUAUGGGUUGUAAACCUCUUUUGUCCGGGAAUAAAAAUCCCACGUGUGGGGUCUUGCAGGUACUGGUUGAAUAAGGACCGGCUAAUUCCGUGCCAGCAGCCGCGGUAAUACGGAAGGUCCGAGCGUUAUCCGGAUUUAUUGGGUUUAAAGGGUGCGCAGGCGGGAAGCCAAGUCAGCCGUCAAAUCGCGGAGCUCAACUCCGUCCAGCGGUUGAAACUGGUUUUCUUGAGUGCGGCAGAGGAAGGUGGAAUUCGUGGUGUAGCGGUGAAAUGCAUAGAUAUCACGAAGAACUCCGAUUGCGAAGGCAGCCUUCUGGGCCGUAACUGACGCUCAUGCACGAAGGUGUGGGUAUCAAACAGGAUUAGAUACCCUGGUA
rnacentral:rRNA from 1 species